rnacentral:rRNA from 1 species
AGGACGAACGCUGGCGGCGUGCCUAAUACAUGCAAGUCGAACGGUCUUUCUAUGGAAGCUUGCUUCCACUGAGAAGAUAGUGGCGAACGGGUGAGUAACACGUGGGUAACCUGCCCAUAAGAGGGGGGAUAACAUCCGGAAACGGGUGCUAAUACCGCAUAGUUUUCUUGGUCGCAUGAUCGGGAAAGGAAAGACGGCCUUUGUGCUGUCGCUUAUGGAUGGACCCGCGGCGUAUUAGUUAGUUGGUGAGGUAACGGCUCACCAAGACGAUGAUACGUAGCCGACCUGAGAGGGUGAUCGGCCACAUUGGGACUGAGACACGGCCCAAACUCCUACGGGAGGCAGCAGUAGGGAAUCUUCCGCAGUGGACGAAAGUCUGACGGAGCAACGCCGCGUGAGUGAAAGAAGGUUUUCGGAUCGUAAAACUCUGUUGUCAGAGAAGAACAAGUUGGAGAGUAACUGCUCCAGCCUUGACGGUAUCUGACCAGAAAGCCACGGCUAACUACGUGCCAGCCGCGGC